rnacentral:rRNA from 1 species
CUACGGGGGGCAGCAGUGGGGAAUAUUGCACAAUGGGGGAAACCCCGAUGCAGCAACGCCGCGUGGAGGAUGACGCAUUUCGGUGUGUAAACUCCUUUUAUAUAGGAAGAUAAUGACGGUACUAUAUGAAUAAGCACCGGCUAACUCCGUGCCAGCAGCCGCGGUAAUACGGAGGGUGCAAGCGUUACUCGGAAUCACUGGGCGUAAAGCGCGCGCAGGCGGCCUUUUAAGUUGGAUGUGAAAGCCUACGGCUCAACCGUAGAACUGCAUCCAAAACUACUAGGCUAGAGUCUGGGAGGGGAAGAUGGAAUUAGUUGUGUAGGGGUAAAAUCCGUAGAGAUAACUAGGAAUACCAAAAGCGAAGGCAAUCUUCUGGAACAGUACUGACGCUGAGGCGCGAAAGCGUGGAGAGCAAACAGGAUUAGAUACCCGCGUAGUC